GCACUUCUGCAGCUCAAAUACUAAAAUUGGAACAAUACAAAGAAGAUGAGCAUGGCUCCUGUGUAAGGAUGACACAUAAAUUCCUGAAACAUUCCAUGUUUUC